GUAGGUGGCAAGCGUUGUCCGGAAUUAUUGGGCGUAAAGCGCGCGCAGGGCGGUCCUUUAAGUCUGAUGUGAAAGCCCACGGCUCAACCGUGGAGGGUCAUUGGAAACUGGGGGACUUGAGUACAGAAGAGGAAAGCGGAAUUCCAAGUGUAGCGGUGAAAUGCGUAGAGAUUAGGAGGAACACCAGUGGCGAAGGCGGCUUUCUGGUCUGUAACUGACGCUGAGGCGCGAAAGCGUGGGGAGCAAACAGGAUUAGAUACCCUGGUAGUCCACGCCGUAAACGAUGAGUGCUAAGUGUUAGGGGGUUUCCGCCCCUUAGUGCUGCAGCUAACGCAUUAAGCACUCCGCCUGGGGAGUACGGCCGCAAGGCUG
rnacentral:rRNA from 1 species